UUGAACGCUGGCGGCAGGCCUAACACAUGCAAGUCGAGCGGUAGCACAGAGAGCUUGCUCUCGGGUGACGAGCGGCGGACGGGUGAGUAAUGUCUGGGAAACUGCCUGAUGGAGGGGGAUAACUACUGGAAACGGUAGCUGAUACCGCAUAAUGUCGCAAGACCAAAGUGGGGGACCUUCGGGCCUCAUGCCAUCAGAUGUGCCCAGAUGGGAUUAGCUAGUAGGUGGGGUAACGGCUCACCUAGGCGACGAUCCCUAGCUGGUCUGAGAGGAUGACCAGCCACACUGGAACUGAGACACGGUCCAGACUCCUACGGGAGGCAGCAGUGGGGAAUAUUGCACAAUGGGCGCAAGCCUGAUGCAGCCAUGCCGCGUGUGUGAAGAAGGCCUUCGGGUUGUAAAGCACUUUCAGCGGGGAGGAAGGCGUUAAGGUUAAUAACCUUGGCGAUUGACGUUACCCGCAGAAGAAGCACCGGCUAACUCCGUGCCAGCAGCCGCGGUAAUACGGAGGGUGCAAGCGUUAAUCGGAAUUACUGGGCGUAAAGCGCACGCAGGCGGUCUGUCAAGUCGGAUGUGAAAUCCCCGGGCUCAACCUGGGAACUGCAUUCGAAACUGGCAGGCUAGAGUCUUGUAGAGGGGGGUAGAAUUCCAGGUGUAGCGGUGAAAUGCGUAGAGAUCUGGAGGAAUACCGGUGGCGAAGGCGGCCCCCUGGACAAAGACUGACGCUCAGGUGCGAAAGCGUGGGGAGCAAACAGGAUUAGAUACCCUGGUAGUCCACGCCGUAAACGAUGUCGAUUUGGAGGUUGUGCCCUUGAGGCGUGGCUUCCGGAGCUAACGCGUUAAAUCGACCGCCUGGGGAGUACGGCCGCAAGGUUAAAACUCAAAUGAAUUGACGGGGGCCCGCACAAGCGGUGGAGCAUGUGGUUUAAUUCGAUGCAACGCGAAGAACCUUACCUGGUCUUGACAUCCACAGAACUUUCCAGAGAUGGAUUGGUGCCUUCGGGAACUGUGAGACAGGUGCUGCAUGGCUGUCGUCAGCUCGUGUUGUGAAAUGUUGGGUUAAGUCCCGCAACGAGCGCAACCCUUAUCCUUUGUUGCCAGCGGUUCGGCCGGGAACUCAAAGGAGACUGCCAGUGAUAAACUGGAGGAAGGUGGGGAUGACGUCAAGUCAUCAUGGCCCUUACGACCAGGGCUACACACGUGCUACAAUGGCAUAUACAAAGAGAAGCGACCUCGCGAGAGCAAGCGGACCUCAUAAAGUAUGUCGUAGUCCGGAUUGGAGUCUGCAACUCGACUCCAUGAAGUCGGAAUCGCUAGUAAUCGUAGAUCAGAAUGCUACGGUGAAUACGUUCCCGGGCCUUGUACACACCGCCCGUCACACCAUGGGAGUGGGUUGCAAAAGAAGUAGGUAGCUUAACCUUCGGGAGGGCGCUUACCACUUUGUGAUUCAUGACUGGGGUG
rnacentral:rRNA from 1 species